AUUGAACGCUGGCGGCAGGCUUAACACCUGCAAGUCGAGCGAGCGGCGGACGGGUAAGUAAUGACUGGGAAACUGCCUGAUGGCGGGGGAUAACUACUGGAAACGGUAGCUAAUACCGCAUACCAUCAGAUGGGCCCAGAUGGGAUUAGCUAGUAGGUGGGGUAAUGGCUCACCUAGGCGACGAUCCCUAGCUGGUCUGAGAGGCUGCCCAGCCACCAUGGAAAUGAGACACGGUCCAGACUCCUACGGGAGGCAGCAGUGGGGAAGAUUGCACAAGGGGCGUAAGCCUGAUGCAGCCAUGCCGAGGGUGUGAAGAAGUCCGUCGGGUUGUAAAGCACUGUCAGCGAGGAGGCGUUACUCGCAGAAUAAGCACCGGCUAACUACGUGACAGCGGCCGCGGUAAUAC
rnacentral:rRNA from 1 species